rnacentral:rRNA from 1 species
GACGGAGGAGGCAAGCGUUAUCCGGAAUUAUUGGGCGUAAAGGGUACGUAGGCGGCUGGUCAAGUCUGGGGUCAAAGGCCACAGCUCAACUGUGGGAAGGCCCUGGAAACUGACCGGCUAGAGUGAGGCAUGGGUUGCGGGAAUUCCCGGUGUGGCGGUGAAAUGCGUAGAGAACGGGAAGAACAGCUGAGGCGGAAACGCGAAACUGGGCCUCAACUGACGCUGAGGGACGAAAGCUAGGGGAGCGAAUGGG